rnacentral:rRNA from 1 species
CGUAGAUAAUGUACCUUUGGGUGGGGAAUAACAGUCGGAAACGACUGCUAAUACCGCAUAAUGCAGCGGCAUCAUAAGAUGACAGUUGUUAAAGGAGCAAUUCGCUUGAAGAGGAGCUUGCGGCAGAUUAGCUAGUUGGUAAGGUAAUGGCUUACCAAGGCUACGAUCUGUAACCGGUCUAAGAGGACGGUCGGUCACACUGACACUGAAUAACGGGUCAG